UUGCUUCACUUUGGCAACACAUAUACUAAAAUUAGAACAAUACAGAGAAGAUUAGCAUGGCCCCUGCACAAGGAUGAUAUGCAAAUUUGUGAAGCAUUUGAUCAUGGC
rnacentral:snRNA from 1 species